CCACGAUGAUUCACAUUCAGCUUUCACUUAAGGCAAGAUGGAAGAAAGGAGGAUACCAAGAUAAGAAGAUCAAGAAGAUAAAGAAAGCUAAAUUUGACAAGGAUCAACAGACCAGACAGCUCUCCCACAGCCAGCCUGAGAACCUGCUUUACGGUCUGAAUAGCCUGGGUGAAGUUGAAGACUCGUGCAUCAGAUGGCUGAGAAAAGGAUAGCCCAGAGCAAGAGGGAGCCCAGCAGAGGCUAAGAAGGAGGCAGCAAAGGAGUUCACAAACCCACAUACAGCUAAUGGAGGUACCGAAUGACAGGU